CAGUCGCCGCGGGAAUACGUAGGUGGCAAGCGUUGUCCGGAAUUAUUGGGCGUAAAGGGCUCGCAGGCGGUUUCUUAAGUCUGAUGUGAAAGCCCCCGGCUCAACCGGGGAGGGUCAUUGGAAACUGGGAAACUUGAGUGCAGAAGAGGAGAGUGGAAUUCCACGUGUAGCGGUGAAAUGCGUAGAGAUGUGGAGGAACACCAGUGGCGAAGGCGACUCUCUGGUCUGUAACUGACGCUGAGGAGCGGAAGCGUGGGGAGCGAACAGGAUUAGAUACCCCCGUAGUCCCUGUCUCUUAUAC
rnacentral:rRNA from 1 species